rnacentral:lncRNA from 1 species
ACAUAUUCAAUCAAAUGUUUCUAAUUCAACACCUAGUCUCCAGAAUAAAGCACAACAAUCCACUAGAGAACUAAAUUAAUGCAUCAUUGCAAAGUACUGACAGAGAAUCGAUACUUCACUUCAAAAUCAGAACAACAAUGACAACCAAAGUUUUCAUUUAAUGCAAAAACACAUAUCUAGUUUAUAACAACUAAAAGUUCAAUCAAAAUCCAACUCAAACAGACCUACAAGAAAAGAGAAACAAUUGAACAGGGGUAACGGACCUCAAGCGCCACCGAAAUAGCUUUAACAAUUGAAUUGCAGAAUAAAUACCUCUCAAGUUUAAACACCCCCAACAAUCGAAAUUUCAAACGAGACCGCGAAUCAGAAGACGCAUGGCACGACCAAGACAAACAAUCAGAAUGGGGAAGCUCUUUCCCAGUUUGUAACACAAGAAAAUGGGCAUGAUUUCUAAGGCUGAAACUAGCUAAAUGCUGUUGUCGACCAACUAACAAAAUAGAACAAGACACACGAGCAUGCUGUCAACUAACUAUGAUUUCUAAGCUUAAAAUAUGCAGCCCAAACCUUUACAAUCUCAAAGAAGGAAGAAAACAAAAUGCCAAGAACUAGCAACAAAAGAAACAAACUUAUCAAAGGUCGAGUGCAAUUCUAUAUGCGUCAAAGAUGCACAAGGUAAGCUCAUCUAUGAAACGAUCAUUCCUUCGACAUGGGAGCAGUUCAUGAACAUAGACCAAUGAAUCAGAAUUAUAGCACACUAUUAACACGAGCACGGAUUAUAUUCCAACAGUUGAAACCUUGAACUUUCAUGAAUAACCACAAAACUUCCCUUUUGUUUCCUCAGAAGAAAAAAAACAAUCUGAACUUAGUUACAUUUUCAUAGAUUCAUGGUUAGCUCAGUUUCACAUAAUUGAACCUCAACUUCAAUUUUAAGUCCAAACAAUGGCAACCAACAGACUCAAACCAAGUUUUCAGCUACAGAACAUUGGAGAAAAUCGACAUAACUCAACAGACUUUACCAAAAUUCAUCUUGUCACAAAUCGAUAAGAAACUAAAUUUGAACUCACUAAAAAAGCUCAAAUGACAGCAACAAUGGAAUACAAACUCAGAAAUUCCAUAGCCGAAGAACAUCCAGAAAACAUAGUUACAUGGUGAAAAAGAAAAUCAAACCUGAAGUUGCAAACUUCUGUUAAAAAUUACAGCCUUAAUAAUACGCCUUUUGCCUUCGAAUACUAGUGAGGUUCAGUAGCAACUCAGCAAAAUAACAACAGGAAACCCAAGCUUGAACUUCAAUUCAGUUUUCAUCUCUUUGGAACUCAAAGCCGGACUCAGAAAAUAAAAAAAAGUGUAUGCUUCUCUUAACCUUUGAAAGAACUCUUAAAAGAAAAAUAAAUCAGAGAACAGAAACCAGAAGUUAAAGAAAACCUUUCAACUUUUCUCUCCAAAUUUUUCCCAAAAUUCUCUUCCCUCUCAAAAUCGGAUCCGGUCCUCUAUGAAAACGAACCCCUAAUGAAUGUGGGGCUCGGAUUGAACAAAAUCAAUCCAACACCUCACACUCAUCUAACGAAUCGUCUCUAGGACCUUCCAAUAAUUAGAUAAAUCCAAAUUUGAGCGAGUGAGAGGAGAGUGGAAUCUUGGCGUCAGAAUACUGUUAGAAACGGCAAGAGGAGAUAUGAGGGACGCGUGGUUAUGGGUUUGAUGCCCACUCGCCAUGGAUUUGGGCUGAAAUGGGGGUUGGAUUCGAGUGAUUCUUUGGAGAAGAGGAACGAUCGCGUCUGGGGUGUUAGAGAUUAAGGCUCGUACAUUUAUUUUUGUGUCUGUGGGUGUAUCUGGUGGAGAACGGGUCAGGUAAGGGCAGCCGGGCAGGUUUG